CUCUCUGCGUUAUUAUAAGGUGUGUUAAGUAGUACUAUUCUUAUCAGUUUAAUCCCUGUUACGUCCCCUAUCAGGGGACGUGUAUAUGGCAUCGAUUUUAGGAACCGGGAAAUGGAAAAAGAUGCUUGGUUGGUCCUCCUACUUCAAAUUUUUUUUUAAAUGUACACUACUGUUACACCAGAUAUGAGUUGC